AUGAUGUCACCUUGAUGUUAACAGGGCUCCUUCCUCAUCGUGUCUGUGGUUGACCUUGUCUUCCUCAGACCAUGGCUGCUUUUUCUUCAAAGGGGCAUAUGGUGGAACCAAACAAUCCACGAGAAUGGUCCUGAACACAAGGGUGACAGAGAUACCCAGCUGCUGACACUGAGGAGGGCAGGGAAGCAGAACAUGGGUUGACUGGUUACCCCAGCCAGAGUAGCAGCCAUCUGAGUCACGGACUUUCCCUACACGCAUGCCUGCUCAGUAGAAAAUCACCAGCCCGAGCCCGCUAACCAGCUGCCGGACACGGGUGGAAAUGCUGACCGUUGUUGCCAUUUAACUUUCUCCUGUAUAAAAAUGUGCAAGUUUAA
rnacentral:lncRNA from 1 species